CUCAACUAGAAGGGGUCGUACAAAACUGGUCGACUAGAGGGCAGGAGAGGAAAGUGGAAUUCCCGAAGUAGCGGUGGAAUGCUCAGAUAUCGGGAGGAACACCAGUGGCGAAAGCGGCUUUCUGGCCUGACCCUGACGCUAAGGAGCGAAAGCUAGGGUAGCGAACGGGCUUAGAUACCCCGGUAGUCCUAGCUGUAAACGAUGGAUACUGGGUAUUGGGGGGUAGUACCCGCAGUGCCGAAGCAAACGCGUUAAGUAUCCCGCCUGGGGACUACGGUCGCAAGGCUAAAACUCAAAGGAAUUGACGGGAACCCGCACAAGCAGCGGAGCGUGUGGUUUAAUUCGAAGCAACGCGAAGAACCUUACCUAGGCUUGACAUGUAUGUAGUAACGAACCGAGAGGGGAGUGAGCCUUCGGGCAGCA
rnacentral:rRNA from 1 species